rnacentral:lncRNA from 1 species
GAGUAUGAUGAAGAAAGAAUUAAAAUCCAAGGAGGAACAGAAGAAAAGUAUGUAGAAAAUGUGAUUUCCCCAAGGCUCGUGACAUUGUCUUGUAAGGGAAGAUGGGUCUGACUGCCAGUAGCAGCCUUAAACAAAAUAAUCAAAAAAGUGAGCCCCCGCACAUAAGCUCGAGACUAUCAGAUACCUGUCACGAUAAAUACAUUACCUUCAAUUCUUACAACAGUAUGGCAAAUUAAAGUCCACUUGUACAGAUGAGGAAACACAGAAUAAAUGACUGGUACAAGGUCAGAGGUAACACCCUCUCUACCUCACAAAGCUGUUGAAAGAAUUAAAUGAACUAAUUCAGUGCUUCUAAAACUUCAGUGUGUGCUUUAAGACUUAAAUAUAAGACAAGACACCAUCAAACUCCUAGAAGAGAACACUAGCAAAACAUUCUCUGACAUCAACCUUACAAAUGUUUUCUCAGGUCAGUCUCCCAAGGCAACAGAAAUAAAAACAAAAAUAAACCAAUGGGACCUAAUCAAACUGAGAAGCUUUUGCACAGCAAAGGAAAACAUAAAAAAAAAAGAAAAAAAAAAAGACAACUUACAGAAUGGGAGAAAAUAGUUUCAAACGAUGCAACUGACAAGGGCUUAAUCGCUAAAAUAUGCAAACAACUUAUGCAACUCAACAGCAAAAAAGCCAACAACCCAAUGUAAAAAUGGGCAAAAGACCUGAAUAAACAUUUCUCCAAAGAAGAUAUACAGAUGGCCAACAAGCAUAUGAAAAAAUGCUCAACAUCACUGACUAUUAGAGAAAUCCAAACCAAAACUACCAUGAGGUACCACCUCAGACCAGUCAGAAUGGCCAUCAUUAAUAAGUCCACAAAUAACAAAUGCUGGAGAGGGUGUGGAGAAAAGAGAAGCCUCCUGCACUUUUGGUAGGAAUGUAAGCUGGUACAAUCACUAUGGAAAACAAUAUGGAGGUACCUUAGGAAUCUAUACAUAGAACUACCAUAUGACGCAGCAAUCCCACUCUUGGGCAUAUAUCCAGACAAAACUUUCCUUGAAAAGGACACAUGCACCCCCAUGUUCAUUGCAGCUCUAUUCAAUAGCCAAGACAUAGAAACAACCUAAAAGUGUCCAUCAACAGAUGAAUGGAUUCAGAAGAUGUGGUAUAUAUACACAAUGGAAUACUACUCAGCCAUAAAAAAGAACAAAAUAAUGCCAUUUGCAGCAACAUGGAUGGAACUAGAGACUCUCAUACUGAGUGAAGUAAGUCAGAAAGAGAAAGACAAAUGCCAUAUUAUAUCACUUAUAUCUGGAAUCUAAUAUACAGCACAAAUGAACCUUUCCACAGAAAACAAAAUCAUGGACUUGGAGAACAGACUUGUGGUUGCCAAGGGGGAGGGGAGGGAGUGGAAUGGAUUGGGAAAUUGGGGUUAAUAGAUGCAGACUUUUGCCUUUUGAAUGGAUUAGCAAUAAGAUCCUGCUGUGUAGCACUGGGAACUAUAUAUUGUCACUUACAAUGGAGCAAGAUACUAUGAAAAAAAGGAAUGUAUACGUGUAUGUAUUGACUGGGUCACCUUGCUGUUCAGUAGAAAAUUGACAGAACACUGUAAACCAGUUACAAUGGAAAAAAAUAAAAAUC